AGGGAAUAUUGGGCAAUGGAGGAAACUCUGACCCAGCCAUGCCGCGUGAAGGAUGAAGGUCCUACGGAUUGUAGACUUCUUUUAUUAGGGAAGAAACGUCUCGAUUCAUCGGGAUUUGACGGUACCUAAGGAAUAAGCACCGGCUAACUCCGUGCCAGCAGCCGCGGUAAUACGGAGGGUGCAAGCGUUAUCCGGAUUCACUGGGUUUAAAGGGUGCGUAGGUGGAUUGAUAAGUCAGUGGUGAAAGCCCCGAGCUCAACUUGGGAAUUGCCAUUGAUACUGUUAGUCUUGAGUUCGGUUGAGGUAGGCGGAAUAAGUCAUGUAGCGGUGUAAUGCUUAGAUAUGACUUAGAACACCGAUUGCGAAGGCAGCUUACCAAGCCGACACUGACACUGAGGCACGAAAGCGUGGGGAUCAAAC
rnacentral:rRNA from 1 species